rnacentral:rRNA from 1 species
CAGUAGCCGCGGUAAUACGGAGGGUGCAAGCGUUAAUCGGAAUUACUGGGCGUAAAGCGCACGCAGGCGGUUUGUUAAGUCAGAUGUGAAAUCCCCGAGCUUAACUUGGGAACUGCAUUUGAAACUGGCAAGCUAGAGUCUUGUAGAGGGGGGUAGAAUUCCAGGUGUAGCGGUGAAAUGCGUAGAGAUCUGGAGGAAUACCGGUGGCGAAGGCGGCCCCCUGGACAAAGACUGACGCUCAGGUGCGAAAGCGUGGGGAGCAAACAGGAUUAGAUACCCCCGUAGUCCAUGUCUCUUAUAC